CUUUCCUUUUACGCCUUUCUACAUUUACUGUAUUUUAAUAAUAUUGUAUCAAUAUAGGGAAGACAUUAUCAUUGUACUGAUAACUGUGUUGAUUAUUAAAUUAUUUAACGAAAGUUUUCUAAAUGACAAAAUAAUGUUCAGCACGUAGGUCAACUUGUUUGUCAUUUCAAUGAUUUUAAUAACAAAGUACGUUCAGCAAUCAUUCGAUAUACUCGAAACACACAGAAUACUUGUGUUGAGUAUCGUAGCUACGACAAAUUCGUGGAUUUUGGAAUUAAUCAGAUUGCUGAGAAGAAAGAUAUUCAACGUGGAGCAAAGGAAUCUGAGCAGACAUUUCAACUGCUGUUUGCUGUUCGUCGAAAGUAUUUUCCUUUCCUCUAUCUUACGGUUUGCGGAUUCGUACGUGGUGGAAUAUUUGAAAGGAGAAGAUUACGAAAUAGAGUCGGACGACACAUCUUUGUUAAAAUAUUGUCCCCGGGAUCACACACAAGAUUCAUUAAUCGACGUAUUGGGGUAUUCGGAAAAUUAAUUUGAAAUGUUUUAAUCUUCGUAUUUAUACAUCUUUUAAUUGGGUAAAGUAAAAAGAUUAUUAUUAAUGAAUGACAUUAUCAUUCAGAAAAUACAUAAAACUCA